UCCUGGACAAGAGCAGGAUUCUCCAGGCACGGCCCUCUCACUGUGGGAAGAGCUGCAGUUCUGCUUCUGAGCCUUUGCUCUUGCUCAGGAAAUUCAGUGUUGGGGGAGUAAGCAGAGCUCCAUAACCUGAAGCCAAUGCAGUAAAAGCUGUCCUGCCAUGGAGGAGUGGGAGGGAGAGUGGCUGGAAAAAAUCCUGUUAGGGGCCAAGGAUCAUGAAAGCAGAGAAUAGGAUCCGAGUUCCAUUGGCAGUUUCUGUCUGUCGGGCACACGCUGGACCUGCAGGAUCUCGCAGAGUGGUCGCGCUGAUCCUGCUGGUGAGUGAGGGACAUGGAGGUGGAGCUUCACGAUUGUGGAGUGUGUACCCAGACUUCUUUGCUUCCCUAGGCCGAGGUGGCUUUUUAGUCCAGAGAGCAAGUUUCCUCAGGUAGGAACGGCUCUGAGCUGUUAACUUCUCUUUGGUUUAGUAGUGAUGGAUUCAGGGCUGUGCUGGACUUUGGGGUGGAUGUAAAGCUUGUGAACUCUCUGGUCUUUCUGUAAAAAGUUUCCUGCUGUCAUUGAUCACCUUUUUUAAAAAUUUUUUUCUUUUCUUUUUAAGUCUAGGGAAGCAUUAAGUGAGUACAAUGCAAUUGAAAUCCAGGUUUAGGGAAUGUUACAGGUGUGUUUCCUCAUGGCUCCUCUGGACAAAACUGUAGUACCUGAGUACCCUAAAAGGCCUUAAGAUGCUGCUGCAGAAGUUAUCUUCUGAUUCACUUUUUCACCUCCUCAGAACAUUCAACUCCUUGAAAGACCUUUUCAUUGCAAUUCUUUAUUUAAUAAAUGGAAACUGCAUGGCUUCAUUUUAGGGCUCUUUGUUGUUUGGCCAUGACAUGAAGGUGUGAAUCUGCAUAUGCAGCAGAUAAGCUGAUUUCCUGUAUGCUGGAUUUUGGAUAUGUGCCCUCUUGGCCUCAUUCUGCAUCUGAAGAAUCAUGUGCACAUGUAAUGCUGCACUCAAGGAUAAUAAAAUAUAUUCUCCGCUUUAAAUUCCAGGAAUUUAUAAUAUUUAGCCCUUCUGCAAAUUUUGGUGAUGACAUCUUUCCCCAUUGGCACCCUACAUUUGCUCAUGCUACUGGUAUUAACUUUAGUCCUGGCAUAAAACCUUGGGGUUUUAUGUUUAACUGAAAACAAACUGUGGGAAAUGUAGAGGUCUUAGUACCUAACUUUGGAUGCAGGGGAACUGCUCAGAGUUUGGCAGAUCUGCAGAAAUCUCUCUCUCAGUCUGGCUUUAGAGCCCUUUCUGUGAUAAUC